AACGAACGCUGGCGGCAGGCCUAACACAUGCAAGUCGAGCGAGAUCUUCGGGUCUAGCGGCGGACGGGUGAGUAACGCGUGGGAAUAUGCCCUUCUCUGCGGAAUAGCCUCGGGAAACUGAGCGUAAUACCGCAUACGCCCUUUGGGGGAAAGAUUUAUCGGAGAAGGAUUAGCCCGCGUUGGAUUAGGUAGUUGGUGGGGUAACGGCCUAGCAAGCCGACGAUCCAUAGCUGGUUUGAGAGGAUGAUCAGCCACACUGGGACUGAGACACGGCCCAGACUCCUACGGGAGGCAGCAGUGGGGAAUCUUAGACAAUGGGGGCAACCCUGAUCUAGCCAUGCCGCGUGAGUGAUGAAGGCCUUAGGGUUGUAAAGCUCUUUCAGCUGGGAAGAUAAUGACGGUACCAGCAGAAGAAGCCCCGGCUAACUCCGUG
rnacentral:rRNA from 1 species